rnacentral:rRNA from 1 species
UACGGGGGGGGCAAGCGUUGUUCGGAAUUACUGGGCGUAAAGGGUUCGUAGGCGGCCUUCUAAGUCAGACGUGAAAUCCCUCGGCUCAACCGAGGAACUGCGUCUGAUACUGGAAGGCUUGAAUCCGGGAGAGGGAUGUGGAAUUCCAGGUGUAGCGGUGAAAUGCGUAGAUAUCUGGAGGAACACCGGUGGCGAAGGCGGCAUCCUGGACCGGUAUUGACGCUGAGGCGCGAAAGCUAGGGGAGCAAACGGG